GCCCAGACUCCUACGGGAGGCAGCAGUGAGGAAUAUUGGUCAAUGGCCGAGAGGCUGAACCAGCCAAGUCGCGUGAGGGAAGAAUGUCCUAUGGAUUGUAAACCUCUUUUGUCAGGGAGCAAAGUCACCCACGUGUGGGUGUUGGAGAGUACCUGAAGAAAAAGCAUCGGCUAACUCCGUGCCAGCAGCCGCGGUAAUACGGAGGAUCCAAGCGUUAUCUGGAUUUAUUGGGUUUAAAGGGUGCGUAGGCGGAUUGAUAAGUUAGAGGUGAAAUGUCCGAGCUCAACUCGGGAACUGCCUCUAAUACUGUUGAUCUAGAGAGUAGAUGCGGUAGGCGGAAUGUAUGGUGUAGCGGUGAAAUGCUUAGAGAUCAUACAGAACACCGAUUGCGAAGGCAGCUUACCAAUCUAUAUCUGACGUUGAGGCACGAAAGCGUGGGGAGCAAACAGGAUUAGAUACCCGUGUAA
rnacentral:rRNA from 1 species